rnacentral:rRNA from 1 species
GGGCCCGCACAAGCGGUGGAGCAUGUGGUUUAAUUCGAUGCAACGCGAAGAACCUUACCAGGGCUUGACAUACUACGAAUUCUUUUGAAAAAAAUGAAGUGCCUUCGGGAAUGUAGAUACAGGUGGUGCAUGGCUGUCGUCAGCUCGUGUCGUGAGAUGUUGGGUUAAGUCCCGCAACGAGCGCAACCCUUAUUUUUAGUUACCAAUUCGUUGGGUUCUUUAGAAAGACUGCCGGUGACAAACCGGAGGAAGGUGAGGAUGACGUCAAGUCAGCAUGCCCCUUAUGUCCUGGGCCACACACGUGCUACAAUGGUAGGUACAGAGGGAAGCCACCCCGCGAGGGGAGCG